rnacentral:rRNA from 1 species
UAGCGUAUAUUUAAGUUGUUGCAGUUAAAAAGCUCGUAGUUGGAUUUCGGUUAAGAGCGACCGGUCCGCCGUUUGGUGUGCACUGGUUGGUUUUAACUUCCUGUAGAGGACGUGCUCUGGGCUUAACGGUCUGGACUCGGAGUCUACGUGGUUACUUUGAAAAAAUUAGAGUGUUCAAAGCGGGCUUACGCUUGAAUAUUUCAGCAUGGAAUAACACUAUAGGACUCCUGUCCUAUUUCGUUGGUCUCGGGACGGGAGUAAUGAUUAAGAGGAACAGUUGGGGGCAUUCGUAUUUCAUUGUCAGAGGUGAAAUUCUUGGAUUUAUGAAAGACGAACUUCUGCGAAAGCAUUUGCCAAGGAUGUUUUCAUUAAUCAAGAACGAAAGUUGGGGGCUCGAAGAUGAUUAGAUACCAUCCUAGUCUCAACCAUAAACGAUGCCGACUAGGGAUUGGUGGAUGUUAAUUGAUGACUUCACCAGCACCUUAUGAGAAAUCAAAGUUUUUGGGUUCCGGGGGGAGUAUGGUCGCAAGGCUGAAACUUAAAGGAAUUGACGGAAGGGCACCACCAGGCGUGGAGCCUGCGGCUUAAUUUGACUCAACA